GCUCUGGUAGCACAAUUGGUUAGCGCAUGGUACUAAUAAUACCAUGGUUGUGAGUUCAAUCCUCACCUGGAGCA